GGCACUCCCAGUCAGGCGCCUGGUCUAUAAAUCCAGAAGAAAGAUGCCAAGUGGCCAGUGGAUGGAGAAGUCGCCCAGCUGGUGGCGACUUCCAGAGGGAAGAUGGACCAGAGGAGGCUACAGAGGAUUCAAUUUAGGAUGGAGCUGUCAGGUACCUCUGGCAAGCACUAGCCAGAGUCCAUAGGCAGGAGGGAGCAGAGACUCACUGUUGUACUCAUUUGCCACCUGGAGAAGACUCAGACCCCACUUCAGCUUCUCAACUCCUGCCCCUCUGCUCUCUCUGAAAAUAUAUGUCUGUCCCAGCAUCUGACUUCAAGUCUGAUAUUCCAACCACUGCUUAUCACCAUUUUCAAGUAUGUCACAGCCUUGAAGAAUGAAGAAAUUAUCCACAUUGUGCAUUGAAACAUCCUGUGCUAGCAGGCAGUAGAGAAAAUGAAGACGCCUCAGCUACCCAGGUGCAGCGGUGGUGGAGAGGAAGUGAUGUGCAAAGACAGAGGAGCAAGGAAUGGAUAGAAAUCUGGCCAUGGAACUCAGGCUGGGUGCAAGGGAGCUGAUGGAGGAGAAGGUUGUCGUGAGAUCUUUGCCCCAAGGCCCCCAAGAAACCAAGGAGCCUUGACUGUGAGCCACCGUCUCCCAGUGGCUGGGUGAAGCGGGAGUGAUGGGUGGAGAUAACAGCCACCGGAAUUUGAAAGCCCAUGUCAAGGAGCCCUAAAAAGUGCUGAGAUGAGGCAACUACUCAUUCAAUAUGCACGGACAGGCCUGAAGAGCCUGGGCAAGAGUAUAAAUGGAAACCCACAUGCUGGUAUGUCCACAUUGUAAAAGCUGCAACCCAAGUUGGCAAGCUUAAAAAAAAUAUGUUCUGUCGUCUCACCUUGAUAAGUUGUCUUAACCUGAAAGGCCAGGUUCUAAUGUGUAGUUCUCUGAAUCUUCGGAAUUCUGUACUGAGCAUGGCAAAAUAGGCAGAGAUGGGCCACCCACUCCUCUCUCCACUCCCACAGA